UGGGGAAUAUUGGGCAAUGGGCGAAAGCCUGACCCAGCAACGCCGCGUGAAUGAUGAAGGCCUUCGGGUUGUAAAAUUCUUUGGACAGGGACGAAGAAAGUGACGGUACCUGUAGAAAAAGCCCCGGCUAACUACGUGCCAGCAGCCGCGGUAAUACGUAGGGGGCUAGCGUUGUCCGGAAUCACUGGGCGUAAAGGGUUCGCAGGCGGAAAUGCAAGUCAGGUGUAAAAGGCAGUAGCUUAACUACUGUAAGCAUUUGAAACUGCAUAUCUUGAGAAGAGUAGAGGUAAGUGGAAUUUUUAGUGUAGCGGUGAAAUGCGUAGAUAUUAAAAAGAAUACCGGUGGCGAAGGCGACUUACUGGGCUCAUUCUGACGCUGAGGAACGAAAGCGUGGGUAGCAAACAGG
rnacentral:rRNA from 1 species